UACGAAGGAUGCGAGCGUUAUCCGGAUUUAUUGGGUUUAAAGGGAGCGUAGGCGGUCUUAUAAGUCAGUGGUGAAAUCCUAUCGCUUAACGAUAGACGUGCCAUUGAUACUGUAGGACUUGAGUACAGAUGCCGUUGGCGGAAUGUGUCAUGUAGCGGUGAAAUGCAUAGAUAUGACACAGAACACCGAUUGCGAAGGCAGCUGACGAAACUGUAACUGACGCUGAGGCUCGAAAGCGUGGGGGAUCAAACAGG
rnacentral:rRNA from 1 species